rnacentral:tRNA from 1 species
GCGUCGGUAGUCUAGCCUGGUAGGACACAGGCCUUCCAAGCCUGUAACCCGGGUUCAAAUCUGGAAACCACCAGCGGGUUUCCAGCCAUCCUGCAACCAGGAUUUGAAAGUCCCGGCCGACGCA